rnacentral:rRNA from 1 species
AUUGAACGCUGGCGGCAGGCCUAACACAUGCAAGUCGAGCGAGCGGCGGACGGGUGAGGAAUGUUUGGGGACUGCGCGUUAGAGGGGGAUCACAACGGGAUACGGUAGCUAAUACCGCAUACUAUCGGAUUCGGCAUAUGGGAUUAGCUAGUAGGUGAGGUAAUGGCUCACCUAGGCAACGAUCCCUAGCUGGUCUGAGAGGAUGAUCGGCCACACUGGGACUGAGACACGGCCCAGACUCCUACGGAGGCAGCAGUAGGGAAUAUUGCACAAUGGGCGCAAGCCUGACGGAGCCAUGCCGCGUGUAUGAAGAAGGCCCUAGGGUUGUAAAGUUCUUUCAGUCGGGAGGCGUUACCGACAGAAGAAGCACCGGCUAACUCCGUGCCAGCAGCCGCGGUAAUUC